rnacentral:tRNA from 1 species
GGAGAGGUGGCCGAGUGGUCGAAGGCGCGCGAUUGGAAAUCGCGUAUAUCUCAAAAGGGUAUCGUGGGUUCGAAUCCCACCCUCUCCG